rnacentral:rRNA from 1 species
UUUUUGAAUUAAUAAUAUAAAGUCUAAUCUGCCCACUGAUAAUAAAUUAAAGGGCUGCAGUAUUUUGACUGUACAAAGGUAGCAUAAUCAUUAGUCUCUUAAUUGGUGACUUGUAUGAAAGAUUUGAUGAGAUAUAAACUGUCUCUUUUUAAUUUUUAGAAUUUAAUUUUUUAGUUAAAAGGCUAAAAUAUAUUUAAAAGACGAGAAGACCCUAUAGAGUUUAAUAUUUAAUAUUUAUAUUAAAAAUUUUAUAUGAAAUUUGUAAUUUUAAUAUGGGUAAAUAUUUUGUUGGGGUGAUAAAAAAAUUAAAAUAACUUUUUUUAUAAUUUUACAUUAAUAAAUGAAUAAGUGAUCCGUAAUUUACGAUUAUAAGAAAAAAUUACCUUAGGGAUAACAGCGUAAUUUUUUUUUUUAGUUCAAAUAAGAAAAAGAGUUUGCGACCUCGAUGUUGGAUUAAGGUAAAAUUUAAAUGCAAAAGUUUAAAAUUUUUGAUCUGUUCGAUCAUUAAAAUCUUACA